ensembl:lncRNA
CAAUCAUUUACCAGAACCCGUUCACGGGGAGGACCAAGCAUAACCACCUUGUGCCAACUGAGAUCACAGAAUACAUCAGCUUCUUCCACAAAAAUCAGCAAAUACUUAAGCUCCUUUUGAAAAAGUAAGGCUUAACUGAAGCAUUUGGAAAGUUUGUAAACUCACACUAUGCUAGAUCUGCUGUCAGCGUCGUAUCCUCAGUGGCACCCUGUGAGCUCUGGCUGUGUCUCAGUGGUCUACCUGGUACUGGCUAUGGCAAGCCCUUUGUUUCUCUGAGAGGAGCAUCACAGAGAAAACAACAAGAGAGAAGUCAUUACAGAAAACCCCAAGCAAUCAAAAUGCAGAGUUAUGGAGCCUAGUUCUACUGGCUAUAUCCACAAAACAGCUCUUAAAACAACACCGAAGGCUCAGGGGACACUGUGGGAGAAGGAGCAGGAAGAUUGGCAGAGCUAGAGGAUCGGAGAGCUCGCUGUGAGAUUGCCUCCUAGUAAUGUGUGAAGCUACACGCAUAAUGUCUCACCACCGUGACUGCCUAAACAUGAGCUGAACAAAGACAACAACAGACCUACCAGAGUGGUUAGGAGAACCCACUCGUACAUAAAGAACGACAGGCCCCAACCCUUCAACAAAGAAUGACAGGUUCUUAUCCCCCGUGUAAUGUGAAAUAGCCCGAGGGAUUCCUGUAGCGGCAGUUGAACACAGCCUUCGGCCCUUCAAAAAUGAACAUCACUUAGUGCGUAAGAGAAGAUUUGAUCCUGGAUGAAAGCCGUUAUUUACAAAGCAAAUAAUUUGUCACAUCGUUAUCUCAGCUUUAGACUGGCUGGGAGAUAUGCAGCCUGGGAUCAAGUAACCCCAUGUUAGCCAGCAAGGGAGCUUCGGCUGUUUUAUUUGCAAUGUCUCCUUGCGGUUGCAUUACUUCUGGGAAGGACACAAUCGCCAGACAUUGUCUUCCCAUCACGAAGGGACAGUGAAGACUUACGUGCCGCACCUUACAGAGUUACGUUUGGCUGGGUGACAAGUGGUAAGUGAUUGGCAAGGAGCCAACAUUGCAAGAGAAGAAACUUGAGCAAAUAUGGAUAUGCAAUGACCUUGGGAGUGGAGCACAGAUUUGUGGGAGAUGUGGUAAUGGAAGAGACGUGUCUAUGCGAACAACAGGAGCUAUUUAUGAAGUACACACAACCAGCCAGCCCCUGGACUACAGGCUUUUACACAUGUUAAGUGAUUCGUUC